rnacentral:rRNA from 1 species
GUCUAUGGCCAUGCUAUCCUGAACAAGCCCGAUUCCGUAUAAUCUCAGAAGCUAAGCAGGGUCGGGCCUGGUUAGUACUUGGAUGGGAGACCACCUAGGAAGACCAGGUGCUGUAGGCG